rnacentral:rRNA from 1 species
CUCUUUUUGAUAAUAAUAUAAAGUAGGGCCUGCCCACUGAAAUUUUAAAGGGCCGCAGUAUUUUGACUGUGCAAAGGUAGCAUAAUCAUUAGUUUUUUAAUUGAAAGCUUGUAUGAAUGGUUUGAUGAAAAAAUAACUUUCUAUAUUUAAAUUUAAUAAAAAUUUUAUUUUUAAGUUAAAAAGCUUAAAUUUUUUUAAUAGACGAGAAGACCCUAUAGAGUUUUAUUAUAAUAAAUUUUUAAAUUUUAGGAAUUUAAAAAUUUUAAUUUUUAUUAUAAUUUGGUUGGGGUGACUAAAAAAUUUAUAGAACUUUUUUUUAUUUUAUACAUUGAUUUAUGAAUAAUUGAUCCAUUUAAAUGAUUAUAAGAAUAAAUUACCUUAGGGAUAACAGCGUUAUUUUUUUUUARAGUUCAAAUCGAAAAAAGAGAUUGCGACCUCGAUGUUGGAUUAAAGUUAAUUUUAGGUGUAGAAGCUUAAAAAUUUGGUCUGUUCGACCAUUAAAACUUUACAUGAUCUGAGUUUAAACCGGUGUAAGCCAGGUUGGUUUCUAUCUUUAUAAAGUUAAUAAAUUUUAGUACGAAAGGACCAAAUUUAUAGUUAAUAAUUUAUUUUUUGAAUAAAAU